AUAAUAUAAGAAUGUUAGUAAUACAGGAUUAGGGAAAUGUCAUAUUGUAAACAUACAUUUUUUGACGCUGGUUGUCAGGCCGUUCUUCUAACUCUCUUCUGCGUUUCUUCUCCUGCAGGAUUUCUUCAAGUGUUUUUACUUUCCAAGUGUCCUUUUCGUCCCCCAUCAGCAUCCAAUCUCCGCCUGCACGCCAUGUGAUUCAUUAACAUGCACACAGCACAGACAUAAGCUAUAGAGUUCGGGAAAUUCCACAGUUACCAACCAUGGAGAUGCGCCAUCUUUGCAGCUGUUAGCAUACAUUUCCAUUGACUAACGUUAGCUAAAAACAGUAUAAAAAGUGGAGAAAAAAGCAGUGGAACAACUCCGUUAGCUGCUGAGUUCCAUCCAUCCAUUUUCUUCCACUUGUCCGUUGCCGGGUCGUGGGACAGCUGUUGGAGCUGCCCAAAUCACAUUGCACCAGCCCCCUAUGGCUCCUCCUGCAGGUGGUGGGUCCACAGAAGGACGGCCUCAUGGUUCUAACCGGGCCUGUUGGUCUCUCAUAAGGGGCUUCUGAACUGCUCUUUGUCUGACCCGUCACCUAGGACCUGUUGGCCAUGGGAGACCCUACCAGGGGCACGAAGCCCCCGACAACAGAGCUCCAGGAUCAUUCGGGCGCUCAAACCCCUCCACCACGUUAAGGUGGCGGUUCCAGAAGGGGAGCUGCUGAGUUACUGCUGAGACUAAAGGGUGAUUGAGACAGCUGAUCUGAAUAAUCCCAUCCACAUGGAGUCCAAGACUGCAGCCAGAGUGCAGUAUGACCGCUGGAAUGAAGCUAACAUCAACAUAGACGUGGAAGGGGGACAGUCUUCUGUGACCAGGAUGUACAGCCGCUUGUGUGUGGGCAGUGCUGGAGUUGCAGUGAAGGCCGCUGGAGCUUUAGCUGCUCUGCUGUCCCUCUACAUCCUUGGAUAUGUGACGGGAUUCUACGUGCACAAGUGUGGAGGCUAGAAACAUGUUAGAUUCCUGGACAGGUUUUCUCUAGAUUGCAUGUCCUUUGUGUCUGUGUGAAUAAACACGCACAAUAUCGGACAAAUCUCCAGGAUCGAGGCUCAUUAAACUCCUGCAGCUUUGAAGGACAAAUCAUAUCAAAGGCUUCAUUUCUAAAGGGAACAAAAUCUUGCCAUUCAACAAUAACAAUUGACCUUUAAUGUGUUUUGCUAUGUGCUACUGUUCAGCACUUUGUAAACAUUGUUUUAAAGGUGCUCUGUGAAUAAAGAUUU
rnacentral:lncRNA from 1 species